GUCGAACGAUGACUCUCUAGCUUGCUAGAGAUGAUUAGUGGCGGACGGGUGAGUAACAUUUAGGAAUCUACCUAGUAGUGGGGGAUAGCUCGGGGAAACUCGAAUUAAUACCGCAUACGACCUACGGGUGAAAGGGGGCGCAAGCUCUUGCUAUUAGAUGAGCCUAAAUCAGAUUAGCUAGUUGGUGGGGUAAAGGCCUACCAAGGCGACGAUCUGUAACUGGUCUGAGAGGAUGAUCAGUCACACCGGAACUGAGACACGGUCCGGACUCCUACGGGAGGCAGCAGUGGGGAAUAUUGGACAAUGGGGGCAACCCUGAUCCAGCCAUGCCGCGUGUGUGAAGAAGGCCUUUUGGUUGUAAAGCACUUUAAGCAGGGAGGAGAGGCUAAUGGUUAAUACCCAUUAGAUUAGACGUUACCUGCAGAAUAAGCACCGGCUAACUCUGUGCCAGCAGCCGCGGUAAUACAGAGGGUGCGAGCGUUAAUCGGAAUUACUGGGCGUAAAGCGAGUGUAGGUGGCUCAUUAAGUCACAUGUGAAAUCCCCGGGCUUAA
rnacentral:rRNA from 1 species